GAUGAAGAACGCAGCGAAAUGCGAUAAGUAAUGCGAAUUGCAGAAUCCGUGAGUCAUCGAAUCUUUGAACGCACAUUGCGCCCUCUGGUAUUCCGGGGGGCAUGCCUGUUCGAGCGUCAUUAUAACCACUCAAGCUCUCGCUUGGUAUUGGAGUUCGCGAUCUCGCGGCUCCUAAAAUCAGUGGCGGUGCCUGUCGGCUCUACGCGUAGUAAUACUCCUCGCGAUUGAGUCCGGUAGGUUUACUUGCCAGCAACCCCCAAUUUUUACAGGUUGACCUCGGAUCAGGUAGGGAUACCCGCUGAACUUAAGCAUAUCAAUAAGCGGAGGA
rnacentral:misc_RNA from 1 species